AUAGCUGGUUCUCCCCGAAAUAGCUUUAGGGCUAGCCUCAAGGUGAGAGAUACGGAGGUAGAGCACUGAAUGUCCUAGGGGGUAUUGCACCUACCGAAGACUAUCAAACUCCGAAUGCCGUCAUCUUAUACUUGGGCGUCAGACUGUGGGUGAUAAGAUUCAUAGUCGAAAGGGCAACAGCCCAGAUCGUCAGCUAAGGUCCCUAAAUGUAAGUUAAGUGGUAAAGGAUGUGGGAGUGCACAGACAACCAGGAUGUUGGCUUAGAAGCAGCCACUCAUUCAAAGAGUGCGUAAUAGCUCACUGGUCGAGUGAUCCUGCGCCGAAGAUUUCCGGGGCUAAAAC
rnacentral:rRNA from 1 species